GCACAAGCGGUGGAUGAUGUGGAUUAUCGAUGCAACGCGAAAAACCUUACUACCCUUGACAUGUCCGGAAUCCCGAAGAGAUUUGGGAGUGCUCGCAAGAGAACCGGAACACAGGUGCUGCAUGGCUGUCGUCAGCUCGUGUCGUGAGAUGUUGGGUUAAGUCCCGCAACGAGCGCAACCCUUGUCAUUAGUUGCCAUCAUUUGGUUGGGCACUCUAAUGAGACUGCCGGUGACAAACCGGAGGAAGGUGGGGAUGACGUCAAGUCCUCAUGGCCCUUAUGGGUAGGGCUACACACGUCAUACAAUGGCCGGUACAGAGGGUAGCCAACCCGCGAGGGGGAGCCAAUCCCACAAAGCCGGUCGUAGUCCGGAUCGCAGUCUGCAACUCGACUGCGUGAAGUCGGAAUCGCUAGUAAUCGCGGAUCAGCAUGUCGCGGUGAAUACGUUCCCGGGCCUU
rnacentral:rRNA from 1 species